ACGAGCAUGCCACCUGUCAGUAAGAUUCCAUUUGCCGAUAUUGAAAAGAGACCGCCUAGAACUCCACGUCCUCCUCCGAAACGCACCGGAGCCGCUCCUGCAACCACCGCUAAUCCAGUAUCUACAGGUGGUGGUCCUCCGCCUCCACCUCCUCCACCAGGUGCUCCCCCACCACCGCCACCACCUGGCGGCCCACCCCGCCCACCUCCUCCACCGGGAACCCUAGCUAGAGGAGCCGGUGGCGGUGAUAAAGUUCAUAGAGCUCCAGAGUUGGUUGAAUUUUACCAAAGUUUGAUGAAACGUGAAGCUAAAAAAGAUACGUCAAUCAUAUCUUCAUCUGCAUCAAACACAGCG
rnacentral:lncRNA from 1 species